AUGAACCAGAAACAGAACACCGCUAAAUAUUACAAAUCUCACCCAAUUCUCUGUACAAAUUUUGCCAUGUAAGGGGGGAAGUGUUAAGAGUACUGCCUUCAGUAGUAGAAUCAACUUGUUUCCCCCGAGCUCGAGGUUGAGGUACAAGAAGUUUUUCCUCUGGCCAUGUUGCUGAGAUUCUAUCAAAAAAGUAACUAUUGGUUGCACUAGAGAUCGUUCCAUGAAGUGGACUAUUCGAGCAGCCGGAUGCAGAUUGCGAACCGCCGUUAAUCUCCUCAACAGGUGUAGGCGGAUGAUUGGCUGUGGAGACCUCAUCAAGGUUGUUGUCAAGCCCAUUUUGUUCCCUGCAGUAAUUAUCUUGUAGUCCCCAAGAGUCACCCAAGCCAGGCCAAGGGAUGGCUGCAGACACAUCUUGGCAGUGGAAAUGUUCAUAGGAGUGCGUUACAGUGACACCUUUGCUCCUAUUCGGUCGGGAAUCAGCUUCGUGUUUCCACACAAACACACACGAAUCCUCACUGGCGGAGACAACAUAUUUUCCAUUUGAAGUGAGGGAAGCUGAUAUUUGACUGUUUUGGUUACGAAAACCUGUCACAGAAGGCACCAACUGAUGCUGUCAAAGUUGUUCAACUCGGAAUAUGCAUAUGCCAGUACAGUAAAAUAUUAAGGUUCGUGAGUAAGGUGCCCAAAUGCAUACAUCAUUAUACAUUCUGCAUUUUGUUCACAACUUCUGUUGCAGUUUGCAGAACUUAGAAUUCUAAUCUUCAUGCAAUUAGAAUGGGAACUUAAAUUAUGGAAAUCUGUUCAAUGGCCAAUAACAGAGAAUGAGCUUGAAGGACUCGGUUUCCAAUGUAUUUCUUGUCUAAAGAUGUAAUUUUAAUUUAAUAAGAAAUCUAAUGACCACGGGAUAUAAAAAACCAGUGAGACAGACCUAAUUUGCAUUGUAUCAUGGCUAAAACCAUGUGAUAUCUGUACAACUGAUAA